rnacentral:lncRNA from 1 species
CAGGUCAACGCCCCUGCUCCAUCAAGCGUACCGACUGUUCCAUGCUUCCCCGACUAUGGCUGCCUGAAUCAACUUGGGAUUCAUGCUCACCUACAUGUGAUCCUGUAGUUGCCUUGCAAAACACAUGGUUAAGUGCUCCUGAAGGGUAUGACCAAUGAAGCGGCACAAAAGUGCCUCGGUUAACUCGAUUUAUCAUGAUGCCAUAU